AAAAGUAAACACAGGUUGAAUGGAUUGAAGAACAGAAAGCUGAGGAACCAAAAGCUUUGCAGUUUCUCUUUCUAUAACACAUCCCUAGAGAGGCGAGAUUGAUAAGAAAAGUCAAGAGGUAUCCUAAUACUUUCUUUCUAUCUUACAUAUCCCUAUUAUCGCUCUUGUCAUCUUUCAUUUAUUUCUUCUGAUCACAACAAAGCAAUUAAAGCAUGGUUUUCUUUUUAGAAUACCCACAUGAUCAAAGUUCGCUUGAAUAAUUUUUUCCACUUUGAAAGAUGAGAGAAAGGGCGAGAGUCCCAUCUUCUAUCAAUCUCCUCACUGAGCUUUCCAGUCAUGUCUGAUAAAUGUACUUAUUUUAACUGUUCAAACCUUCUGUUCCUCAGCUUUCUGUCCCAUCCACCAAUAUUCCAAAAGGAAUGUGGGACUCAUGGUUCUGCUCCCAAUCAACCAGCACUCUCUUUCACUUUUUUCCUAAUCUCCUGACUGUUCUGGUAAAUAACAAGAAAAAAGGCAGAAAGUAGAAAUCUCCCCCCCACCCCACUCCCCCCACAUGAAAUCCAAACUAGUGUAGCCAAGUUUAUGCCAGGACCCUUGAAUGAAAUUGCACCACAAACUAACUAAAGAGUAUUUUUUUAGCAGGGGCUGAGUUUUGUUUCAAGCUAUAGGUCUUUUGUUAUAAACCCCUCUUAUCUUCUCCAAAUGAUGUAUUGCUGUUGUUCCCUGUCCAAUCAAACAGACUGAAUGGAUCCAAGGCCUUGCUUUCUCUCUCUUCAUGAUCUCCUGAUGAGAAUCCCUGUGCGAACAAUAGAUUUAGAGGGUCAGCCUCUAUUUCUCCUAAAUCUGCGAAGAAGUCCUCCGACUGGUUGGAGUCCGGCAUUGCAGGCUUGUAGCUUCUUGGAAACCCUUCACUGAAUUCACUAUCAUCCAUCUCUAGCUGCUUCUCAACGUUUCCCAUCUCCUCUUUCACAGACGCACCUGUUGUGGAACUCCCACCAACAAUAGGAGACAUGUCAUCGUUGUUAUAGCUCUCUUUGUUUUCUUCCUUCAACCCUGUUGCCUUCUGGGUCGACUGACAGCUCCCCGAGUUCUUUGAAGCUCCAUUGUUUUUUGAUGGCUGAGAUCUGGUUGAGCCUGCAAGGGCAUUUCUCUGCGUUGGCCACGGAUGAUUGUGUUCAGAAGUGUAGGUGAUGACCAACAUGUUUGGAUCAGUUCGGCUUCGUUCCACUUGUUUCCUGGCCGAGCAACCCUUUGAGCUACUGCAUCUGUAAUAGCCCCUGGAUAGUUUUACACGACAUUGAUUAACAAAGAUUUCAUCACUGGAAUCAAAUCGUCCCAAUAACCUACAUCAUUUUACUGCAUGAACUAUCCGAAAUUAUAACUGACAGAUAAAAAAAAAAAAAAAACACUGAUGUCACGAGUAGAAAACGAAUGUGAUAGUCUUCAUCCAUAUCAUCUGAUUUCCCAACAUGCUCCAUAAUGAUUACUUAUGUAAAUUUAGAUUUCCCAAAAUGCGUCAUGAUGAUUAGUUGUGUAAAUCAAAUAUGCUACUUUGUUUUCAAGAAAAUUUUGAUGGGUUAAGCGGCAUUUUCCCACCCUGAAAAGGAAAUAUCAAUGAGCCUCCAUUUUCCUGCCACAAAACGAAGAAAAACAUCUCCAUGAAAUUCAUCUUUAUUUAGCAUGAUAAUAGUACCGACAAUAAUUCCUCCUUUUUGUUCAGGUUCACAGGCAACCUUCAAUUAAUUUUGCUUGUCCCUGAACCAUGUUCAUUAAUAGUCGAACUGUUAAUACUCAGAAAGGCUUUAGCAGUUGGUUUUAAGGAACUUUCUUUGUUUGGAAUUACUUUCCCCCCUCUAAAAGCAGUCAAAUUAAAGCUAAAAGUUGGCUGUAAGAAGAAAACAAGUAGUUAACUUAAUCUGUUAUUGUUUUUCUGAACAUAUGAUCAAUCAGGUAUAUCAUCAAAUCGGCAAUAAUUCUUGUCAGAAGAAAACACACGAAAUGCAGCCUUUGUUUCUUAGGAACUUUUUUUCUUGUCAAGAGUGAUAAUACCUGGAACAAAC
rnacentral:lncRNA from 1 species